AGCGAACGCUGGCGGCAGGCUUAACACAUGCAAGUCGAGCGCCCCGCAAGGGGGAGCGGCAGACGGGUGAGUAACGCGUGGGAAUCUACCCACCUCUACGGAAUAACGCAUGGAAACGUGUGCUAAUACCGUAUACGUCCUUCGGGAGAAAGAUUUAUCGGAGAUGGAUGAGCCCGCGUUGGAUUAGCUAGUUGGUGGGGUAAAGGCCUACCAAGGCGACGAUCCAUAGCUGGUCUGAGAGGAUGAUCAGCCACACUGGGACUGAGACACGGCCCAGACUCCUACGGGAGGCAGCAGUGGGGAAUAUUGGACAAUGGGCGCAAGCCUGAUCCAGCCAUGCCGCGUGAGUGAUGAAGGCCCUAGGGUUGUAAAGCUCUUUCACCGGUGAAGAUAAUGACGGUACCGCAAGAAUAAGCCCCGGCUAACUUCGUGCCAGCAGCCGCAGUAAUAC
rnacentral:rRNA from 1 species